rnacentral:rRNA from 1 species
AGCAGCCGCGGUAAUUCCAGCUCCAAUAGCGUAUAUUAAAGUUGUUGCAGUUAAAAAGCUCGUAGUUGAAUUUCGGGAUCAGUACGCUGGUCGUGCCUUUGGUAUGUACUGGUGUCACUGAUUCCUCCCUUCUGAAGAACCGUUAUGCCAUUUAUUUGGUGUGGCGGGAAAUCAGGACUGUUACUUUGAAAAAAUUAGAGUGUUUAAAGCAGGCUCGCGCUUGAAUACAUUAGCAUGGAAUAAUGAAAUAGGACGUUUGAUCUUAUUUUGUUGGUUUCUAGGAUCGACGUAAUGAUUAAUAGGGAUAGUUGGGGGCAUUAGUAUUCAAUUGUCAGAGGUGAAAUUCUUGGAUUUAUUGAAGACUAACUACUGCGAAAGCAUUUGCCAAGGAUGUUUUCAUUAAUCAAGAACGAAAGUUAGGGGAUCGAAGACGAUCAGAUACCGUCGUAGUCUUAACCAUAAACUAUGCCGACUAGGGAUCGGAUGAUGUUAAUUUUUAAUGA